GGCGAACGGGUGAGUAACGCGUGAGUAACCUGCCCUGGAGUGGGGGGACGAACAGUUGGAAACGACUGCUAAUACCGCAUAAGCCCACGGAUCUGCAUGGAUCUGCGGGAAAAGGAUUUAUUCGCUUCAGGAUGGACUCGCGUCCAAUUAGCUAGUUGGUGAGGUAACGGCCCACCAAGGCGACGAUUGGUAGCCGGACUGAGAGGUUGAACGGCCACAUUGGGACUGAGACACGGCCCAGACUCCUACGGGAGGCAGCAUG
rnacentral:rRNA from 1 species